UCCUCCCUAACGACAUCUCUCAUCCACUCCUCUCCCCCACGUCCCACCUUCCUCCUCCUCUCCCGUCAGCGAUUCCCCUCCCCCUCCCCGCCACUGCCUACUCUCCUAUCCCGUCCUCCACCAUGGCCUCCCCUCCUCCCCCACCCCCCGUGGCCAUCUUCCCUACACAAGCGGAGUAGCACGGCUGGUGCGGCACGAUGCGGAGCAAGCGCGGCGGAGUGGAGUGGGACGGGCUGCACGGAGCGGAGCGGGGCCAAGCGGCUUGGCGUGGGGCUACUGGCCCUCUCCCACCGGUCCUCCCCCACCCGUCGCCCCUCCCCUCCCACGCCGCCCCUCCUUUGGCGUGCAUGGAGAGGAAUUCAUACGCACACCAUGUCAGGUGGGUUCUUCGCUUCACCUCUCCCCCACCUCCUACCCUAGAUCCCCUAGCUAAUUCGUGAUCGAUUCCUCGAUUCUACUGCUCGAUUCAUCGGGGAAUCGGCGACUCCUCGAGGGCCUGACUGAAUCGUAGCGCUGGUUGCUCGAAUUUCUGCCCCCGAGCUGUCGGGGAACACUUGAUUCCCCCACCCCUAAUCUGCUUCCCGCGUGGAGAAGAGGAAUUUGGGGGCAGUCGCGGGUUUUUUCUCCUUGAUUGAUUAGGCUGGCGAGGAGAUUGGGUGCUGAGGUUAUGUGCCACUGCCAAGCGUAUGCAGAUCCUGAUAGCUGCUGGGUAGCCACGUUGGAUUUAGCCUCCAGGCGGUCGUGUGGCUUGGGUGCCUGCGGAAUAGGUUUUGCUCCUGGAAAAUUUGGGCGGGUCCGAGCUUGUGCUCUUGCUAGCUAGCCUCCUUUUAGGCUCAUAACCUUAAGAGUCACCAUGUAGUUCAAGUUGCUUCGACGUGUAUACUACUAAUUUGCAUUGUAUAGCCAGGUUUUAGUUUGGAAGAUGUUGUUCAUAGUUCGUUAGCUUGUGUUGGAUUUAAAAUCUUUUGCUACAGACCAGAAAUGUCCAGAAAUGUCAGCUUAGCUUGUGAAGCACUCUAUUGCCAUAGAAGCUUUUCCUCAUUUUAGGAUGGCUCCUUUGGUGCAAUAACCGCAAUUGUUAAAAGAUACCAAUCCUCUGUUUGCGAAAGUUGAUUUGUUUAUCCUGUUGUAAUGCCACUGAUUCUGCUGCUGAGGAUAUUUUUUUAUAAAAAAGAAAUAGUGUACCAAUGUAGCAAAUGUCUGUUACUUCUUAUCACAAUUACCAUUUAGUGAAUUCAAAUAUGUUAUACUAGCUGAAAGCCUGGUAGUUUUUUUUUCAUUUCUGAUUCGUGAAUGGAGCCUUGGAUACGACCUCAGGUUUGAUGUUCUUUGCACCACUAGUACACUAAGUUGACGAAACUGAACUAUAUUAAUUGUGACACGACAUCUCCAUUGACAAAGUUAAAUGUUGGCAUCAGACUGAAGAAGUACUAUAUAUUUCCUAGAUUUGUCGAAGCUUUUGCAUGAGUGUAUUGAUACACAUAUACUUGAUUUAUUCAGUUUUUUUGUCAUUACUUAUAAUUUCCACGGCGGUAACAAUGAAAUAUAUGCUGAAAAUCUUUUUGGUCUUGACGAAUAUUAUUGGAAAUGGGGGACAUAAAAUAUGUUUAACCAUGUUAACACACCAUCUCUUAGAAUUGUGCUUAAGCAUAAGCCUGAAUACGGUUGUUUACCACUAAACCUUGGGCCUUUAAAUUUGUAUAAUAUUGUGGCAAAACAGAGAUGCCUUCAUGCACGACCUAAUGAGUAUUACUUGAGCACACUAAUAAGCAUUUAAACCAUUUAGUACAUUUGUGGGGUUUCCAAAUCAAGUGAUUUCAACCAUAAGUUGGAUCUUGAGUUGUGCUGAAGCUAUAUUCAAGGGUUGUACAUGUAACACUCUUUCUCUCUCUAUCAAUUCUAUUUUUUUACUCAUAAAAAACAAAGUCUUCUUUCUCACUUGUUCAAAGAUUUUUUAGUUUAGGGUUGAUUGGCUAGGACCAGUGGUGCUGAUCGCCAUAUACGAUGCUCAACCAAAAAAUAAAAUAUAUUGGCAGCAUAUGUAGGAGUAAACUAUUUUGUUUGGACAGAAUGUCAUGAUCUGGGGCUUAGGCUUUUGGGUUUAUAGUCCAGUAGUUAACCAAACCGCUGUUUGUUCCACAAAGUAAUAAAAAUAAUGAUGAUGGUGUUGAUGAUGUGCUUUACUACAAUUGAAUGAGGCUGGCUCCCAGCUGAGCAUGCUCAUCAUCUCUUUUGGCAGCCCUAUGCUCUUGUAUCAUGCAAGGCAGUAACCACUGUUUUUACUGAGUCUAUUUUUCAGUUUUUUUAGAUUAAAUUUGCAUUCAUCGGUCUCCUUUUACUAAGUCUAUUUUUCUGCAUACCUGUUAGCUUUUUUCUGUAUGGUCAUUGGCCUUUUGCAUUUCUACAUGGAAGAUAUUUUUUAUCUUGCAGUCAUCAAACUGAUUGUAUGCAUGUUCAUCAUUAGUAUUUUAAUAAACUUCAAUAGGCAUUUUAAUACUAUCUGCCUAGCAUUUAAAAUGUUCACAUGAAGUAAUUUAGAAAAGUUUCUACUUUUUUGUUGAUUAGUACAUAAGCAUUGCAUGCAACUUAUGCUAAAAUCAACUAGCAUUUUGGUAGAACAUAUAAACAUUUAUAGGUAGGAAUUAGGAAAGAAUAUUAUUGUAAAUGUGCAAUAAUAUAGUUCCCAAUAAGCAUUUUUCUCAUAUGUAACAACAAAAAUAUCAACACUAGGUAAGCAUUUAAGCAAUUUAUAUGUAGGAAUUAGGCAAUAAUAUUUUUAUAGAUGGACAAUAAUAUGGUUCCCAAUAAGCAUUUUCCCCAGUUCUUGUUUGUUUGCUGGUUAGUUGUACAAAUAGGCAUGAACAGGCUCACACAAGACUCGAAUUGGGGGAUUUGCUGGUUAUUAAUACUGAUUCAAUUUCUUGUUUUGCUGGUUAGCUGUCCUCAUCAAUUUAGGCAAUUUGCUGGUUAUUAAUAUUGAUUCAAUGCCUUGUUUUGGUGCCAUAGCAGGUUCAUACAAAUCUGAUGGUGGUGCCGGUCCAUAUUUUUUUGGUGCUAGAGAAUGAAUUCUGAAGAUUUAUUUUGUAUGAAUAUUUAGAUGAUCAUCCUUGUUUUUGCAUCUAAAUGGUCACUGCACUGUGAUUUUUUCUGUAUUCAACUGUUUUUGUGUCUGUGUUUUUCAGGAGGGAAUAUCAUGUUCUAAUGUCAAUCAUGUUCACUGUGAUGAUCAUUUUCUAACCACUAUGAUUUACAAGCAUAUCAGUACUAUUUUCCAGGUAUACGACGACACUGGAUUUGAUGGUGCUGGAGAUACGAGAGCAACUAGGCACAAAGGUGGAUGUGCCCCAAAACCUUUGCUCAGAUGUUUUCUCGCAGGAACCUUGAAUCCAAGACAACUGCUCCCAGAAAAACAUCUUGUAAUUUUGCAUCUCCUCAAGCGGAUUAGCUCAUUCCCAAGCAAUUUGCUAUUUUUUCGCAUUUGGAUGGAAUGUAUUUUUCAUGGAUCUAUCUUGUUGCUGGAACCUAGAAACCAAUUUGUAGAUGAUGGCUGAAUAAAAGACUUUUCAAUCUUUGUGUUAUGCA